UCUUACUUAGCUCAUUCCAAUUCAAAACAGCAACCCAUGCAUGUACUCUUACUUGAAACCGAAUCCAAAAUAGCCGGCAACCAAAGGGAAGAAUUAAACCCUUCAAAUCAAACCCCAGAAAUCAAACCCAUUUCUCUACUAAGAUCCUCACUACAAUUUGGAUAUCGAUUUGGAAAAUUAGGGCUUCGAUACAAUGUUCUUUAGGGUUCGGUUCUAAUGGUGGACUGAGGUUUACUCGUUGCUGCUUUGGAAUUUCUUUCCCCAAAACGAUUUCAGUUUGUCUUGACCAUCAACCACCAUUAUCUCUCUUUGUCGGACUGUUACUUCGCCGGUCGACGUUAUCAAGAGCUGAUUCCAGGAAAAAGUUUAAGAGGCUGUUAUCCUCUCUCAGUCCUCUCUCACAAUCUCUCGCGGCAGAUUUGGGAUUUGGAUCUCUCUUACUCCGACAAAAGAUUACGUACCAUUUCUUUCACUGGAAGAAGGAACACCAUUUGCUGAUGAAACAGAAACUUUCUAACUUUCGUGCCUGUUGUGUUUGUUUCAGUCACCUCUCAAUUGUCCGAGUUGCGCCGACCUUAUUUCUCCUAUUGGAAGAGAAGCAACAAAGAAAAGGAAGCUUUGUGUGUGAACCUGAGCACAAUCUACUGGUCUAGAUUUUGAUAAUCUGAGAGCUUUGGACACUAGCAACGAAUUCGAAGCUUUGGCACUGAAUUUUGGUUGUGAUUCAGUAAACAUUGGGUGCUAACUAUUGUCGAUCCCGAACAAGAAAUUGUCUAUUUUAUGGAUCCUAUGAAGAGGCGAUUACCCACUGGAGAAUGGGUUUCCAUUGUUGAUAGUGCAAUAUCCAUGUAUAAUGCACACAAGGGCAGGAAAGGCCGAAGUUCGCCUCUAUGGAAAAAUUUGUCGGGUAUUCCUCCUCAACCUAACAGCAAUGAGUGUGGCUACUUUAUCAUGCGAUACAUGAGAGACAUCAUUGAGGAUAAAGACUUUUCAUUUGUUACCAAGUGGGAGAGGAGAAGCAACCAAGUUUAUACCCAAGUGGAUAUUGAUGAGAUGAGGAAUGAGUGGGCUAGGUUUGUGGUUAAUAGAUAUGUGUAGAAGCCAUCGCAUAUGUUUUUGGAAAGCAUAAUGAAUUUUUGCUUGUGCUGAUAGAUAUCGAUCACAUGAAACAAUUAUCAGCUUUUGAUUCAUGCAUGCAUUGGUCUAGCUAGACUAGGAAUGCUUUCUUUGUUUGUUUGGUAGUUUAAUUAUCUACUUUGGAUGUUUAGUUGUACUUGACUUAUAUAGUUACACUAAUGAUAUGGAUCAAUGUGGCUUUAUAUGUAUUGUUCAUUUGGUAAUGUACUGUUUUUGUGGUAAUAUAUAUACAUGAAGCAUUAUUGUUUCUGGAAAA